AGCUUCUCUGGGUUCUUCUUUGCUUAGUCUUUGGUUUUGAGAACACAACGAUGGACCAAACACGCUCAGUACCUUCGUCUUAUCUGGCCUGGUCAAUUUUCAACACCCUGUGCUGCUGUCUUCCACUUGGUGUGGUUGCAAUUAUAUUUUCCACCAGAGUGAAUAGCGCAGUCGCCAGCGGGGACCUCACGACAGCAGAAUCCGCCUCACGGACCGCCAAAAUUGUGAACAUCGUCGCCCUGGUGAUAGGGCUUAUUUUCAUCAUCACAGUCGUCUCGAUCAACGUAAAGAAUCAAAAGCACUGAAGCAGGCGCAGAA